UACGUAGGGGGCAAGCGUUGUCCGGAUUUAUUGGGCGUAAAGGGCGCGUAGGCGGCCACGCACGUCCGUUGUGAAAUCGCCCGGCUCAACUGGGCGGGGUCAGCGGAUACGGCGCGGCUGGAGCAAGCUAGGGGGCAAUGGAAUUCCCGGUGUAGUGGUGGAAUGCGUAGAUAUCGGGAGGAACACCAGUGGCGAAGGCGGUUGCCUGGAGCUUUGCUGACGCUGAUGCGCGAAAGCGUGGGGAGCGAUCCGG
rnacentral:rRNA from 1 species